rnacentral:rRNA from 1 species
AUGAAAAACUUCAUCAAAUCUCGAGUGCAGUCUUGUUUGAUAUGCCAGCAAGCAAAAUCUGAGAGAGUUAAGUACCCUGGACUCCUAUCUCCCCUCCCAGUUCCUUCCAAAGCAUGGGAUACAGUCACUAUGGAUUUCAUAUCAGGUCUUCCCUCCUCAUAUCAGUACAACUGCAUAUUGGUGGUCAUUGACAAAUUUUCCAAGUAUGGCCACUUUAUGGGGCUCACACAUCCCUUUAAUGCAUAA